rnacentral:lncRNA from 1 species
AGUGCUGAUGAGUACAGCUUCUUCCUCUCAAGGACCAAUGAUGAAGGAGGAUCGAAGAAGGAAAUCAAAGGAGGAAACCGAAGGAGGUUUGGCUUCACAGUUCGCCCAGCUGCUAUUAGGAAGAAAGCUGGAAGCACUGGCCACCAAAAGAGUGAAGGACCUCCAGCCGCCAUUGGAAAAUGGAAAGAAAGCUAGAAGCACUGGUCAUCGAAGGAGGAGUAGAGGACUGAAGAAGGAAACCCAAAAACCCUAGAUCUAGAAGUCGGAUCGAAGGUGGAAAGAG